UCGUUAUCAAGUCCCUCUGUGUGCAGCUUCACUUUCCUUUCAAAAUGUUGUAUGAUGCCCUUAGUGCGAGGUGUAAGUGGUGUUUCGUUACCAUCAUCUGCCCCUGGCAUGGUUCAAAGACAAAGACAACAAAAAGGCAAGUGAAGAAAUAAAAGCCCUACAACUACUAGGAUGUAGCUACAGCAAGUCGCUCACACUCAACCUGUAACACAAGUUCUUACCAAUUCUUACCUUGCUUGACAGGAGGGGUCGUCUGCCAACAAGUGUACAGCAAUGGACGAAGUGUAUCGAUGCUGCAGCACAAGACCUGUCAAGCUGUAGAGUAUGUGGAGCUAUAGGUGGGCUGAAACAAGGAACGAACUAGCACCACGUUAGUUAUAAAAGCGAGCUGAAUAAGCGUUCGACGAUGGUACUGUGCUGGUCCUAGGCUAGACCGUGCUAGAGACGCGAGCCUGGACACAAAGGAAAACCACAGCACACCCCCGAAAACAAGGUGGAAGAAACCUAAAAUCAAUAUGAAAAACAGCCCCUUUUUUUUCUUUUAAAUCUUUUCUCUUUUCUUUUUUUUCUCUUUUUUUUGGGCAACCUCAAAAACUGAUUAAUGAACAAAGGAAUACAAAAGAGCAAUUCGCUACUCUCUCUCUCUCUCUCUCUCUCUAGAGUAAGGCCGAACAAGUAUGGAGUUAUCUUUCUUUUUGGAUCACAGUUCAAUUCGAACUUCACAACAGAUUCGACAGAGAGAAGAUAUGGUAAUACUCGGCUGUGUAUAGAUGGUGACAAGAACUCGAAACUCUAAAGGACUAGACACUAAGACCAGCAACUCGACACAAACCGAAGCAACGCAAAUUCAACAAGCCCUAACGAAAACGGUACUAGCCAAGGCACAAAGGUUUAAUAGGAUUAUGGAAAAACUAAUCUACUAUAUUUUUUUUGGCUUUUCUGGACUAUAGGAAAUUAAUUAAAAACAGCAAAGGAUUAGAAGUCUCUCACCGAAGAACCUUGCUCUGAUUACAAACUGAUGCGAACCCGCUAGGGUUUUUGGCCUGAUCUUUCGAUGAGAGGCGCUGGAUAACUCGAUUAGUGGAUGGAGAUGACGUUCACGGCCCGACUACAGCCCUCAAGACCGCGCCUUAGCAACCGAUACACCACGUCCAACAGCCAUCACGAUCUUGUGGAGCGCGACAACCAGCCCCUAGGGCUCCCGUCCUGCAAGCAAUCGAAGAACUAGCAAGAACGAGGAAACAAGCACUGAAUUUGCAAGAUGAAUUGAAGGUUUCAAACUGAAUCUGAAUCAACAAUGGGGUUCCGAAGACAAGGAGACGGGCGGCUGAUCCUGCACGCGCGCCUACAAGCAAGUAGCGAAGGCUAAACUUGAUCUAAACAAAACCCAGUUGUUCAUGGCGGCUCUAG
rnacentral:lncRNA from 1 species